rnacentral:rRNA from 1 species
UACAGAGGGUGCAAGCGUUGUUCGGAAUUACUGGGCGUAAAAGGGCGCGCAGGCGGUCCUUCAAGUCAGAUGUGAAAGCCCCGGGCUCAACCUGGGAACUGCAUUUGAGACUGGAGGACUUGAGGACGGGAGAGGAGAGUGGAAUUCCCAGUGUAGAGGUGAAAAUUCGUAGAUAUUGGGAAGAACACCGAUGGCGAAGGCAGCUCUCUGG